CAAUAGCGUAUAUUUAAGUUGUUGCAGUUAAAAAGCUCGUAGUUGGAUUUCGGGCGGGUGACGGCGGUCCGCCUCUGGUGUGCACUGCCGGCAUCCGCCUUUCUGUCGGGGACGGGCUCCUGGGCUUCAUUGCUUGGGACUCGGGUUCGACGUGGUUACUUUGAGUAAAUUAGAGUGUUCAAAGCAGGCGAUCGCCCUGAAUACAUUAGCAUGGAAUAGCACGAUAGGACUCUGGCCUAUUUUGCUGGUCUGUAGGACCGGAGUAAUGAUUAAGAGGGACAGUCGGGGGCAUUCGUAUUUCAUUGUCAGAGGUGAAAUUCUUGGAUUUAUGAAAGACGAACCUCUGCGAAAGCAUUUGCCAAGGAUGUUUUCAUUGA
rnacentral:rRNA from 1 species